rnacentral:lncRNA from 1 species
UCCUCUCCGGGUGUCAUUCCCGGCUCCUCUCCGGGUGUCAUUCCCGGCUCCUCUCCCGGUGUCAUUCCCGGCUCCUCUCCGGGUGUCAUUCCCGGCUCCAUUCCCGGCUCCGCUCCCGGCUCCGCCGGCGGCCGCCGCGGCCAGCCCCGGGCCCGGCGCCUCCCGGGCUGGGCCGAGCCCUUCCCGUUCCCGGGGAGCCGCCGGGGGCUGCCCUCGCUCUUCUCCCAGGCGCUGCAAUAUCGCCACUAUCCCGACUAUCCCGACUAUCCCGGUGAUUAUCCCAGUGAUUACCCCGGUGAUUAUCCCGGUGAUUAUCCUGAUUAUCCCAGUGAUUAUCCCGAUUUUCCGGGCGAUCUGGGAAUGCCGGGAAUGAGCCGCGGCCCCUUCGGGCUGAGGAGGAAGGAGAGGAUGGGAGCCCUGCCCUGGAACGGCCUGAACCCGGGCCGGCGCCGGGGGCUCCGCGCUCGCUCCGGGGGGCGCUGGGAGCCCGAAGGGCCCCGCAAGCGGAAACGCUCCGGGAAUAACGACGGGAAUGCCGGGAAUGACACCGGGAAUGACACCGGAAACAACACCGGGAAUAACGCCGGGAACGCCGAUCCCAAAAUCCCCCGCAGCGACAGCGACUCCGAGCACGGAGAUGAAGGGGAAGGAGAGGAGAAAUCCUUGGAUGAGGCAGACAAAGGAGAUCCCGGAUUUGCUUCCCCAGGAGCCCCCAGGCCGCCUUUGCCAGGAGAAUUCCCGGAAUUCUGGGGGGAAUUUCCCAGAAUUCCGGGAUUUUCCAGUGUUUUCCUGGGAAUUUGUGGCCGGGAAGGGGGAAAAUCCCAAAAAUCCAAGGGUUUUUCCCAGGUUUUGGGGUGGAUUUUGGGGAAUUUGGGGUGGGAAUUCCGGAAAAUUCCAGUUCCUACCCCAAUGUUUGGGAUUUUUUCCUUCUUUUCCGGCGUUUUUUGGGCUUUUCCUGAUGAUUUUUGAGGGAAUUUUGGGGUUUUUGGGAGGAAUUCCUGAGGAAUUCUUUGGGUUUGGAUCCCAAAUGAUCCCAGGGAAGAAAAGCUGCUGGGAAUGGGAGAAAAAUGGGGAAAAACGGGGGAAAAAUUGGAGAAAAACAGGGAAAAAUGGGAAAAAAACAGGGAUAAAAUAAAGUGAGGGAAUAAAAUGGGAAAGAUCA